ACCCCAUUAUCUAGCUGAAAAGUCACUGAGUCCCUUAAGAGCAUUGUCAAGGAGCCAUUCUACAUAAUGCAUUCAGCAUUAAAUUCUUUCAUUUUGAAAAACAGAAGUCUUGAUAGAUUUCAUUCGGCAUCAUCUGAAGAAGAUUGUCUGCACAGAUACAAUAUGUCACCAAACAAGCCCUCCUCUCGGACGAGUGGUUCUGGACCUAGCCGUAAUGACGGCGGUGGAGGCGAGGAGUAGAUCCGCUGGCUAAACCUUCUACAUGCACCGGUCCAGAGAUCUAGCUAUGUCGUUUAUCGAGGCCAACUUGUAGCUGUAGCGACGGACAGACGGUCAGACGGAAAGAAGCCAGCAAGAUGUCUACGAUUUGUUACUUAAGCUAUUGUUUUAAAAUAACAUUUCAGAUUUAUAUUUCAUGUUUAAAUUUUGUUGAGGGAAAAAUAGUUUGGAAUCCCUCUUGAGGGAAAAAUAAUUUGGAAUCCCUGUGGAUCAAAGUCAACUUCUGUUGAAAGGGCCCAUCCACCCAAUAUGUUGGUAAUAAAUAAAUAAAUAACAUUACUUUGAUUCUUUUAAAGAGUGUAUAUUCAUGAAAUUGUAAGACGUGGGUAUCAAUGCAUAUUAUAUCGAAUACAAAGGCGAAUUGUACUUGUGAUAAUUUGUUUCUCAAAAAUUCUGAAUUAAUUUAAGGAGCUGGAACUCCAAUACCAUGAUACAACGAAUUUGUCAACAUGUGAAGUGCGACUAAAAAAUGCCUCGAAAAAAUU